UGCUCCUAUGCCGGUUUUGGGAAGUUGUGAUUAUUUACAUGAGAUGGUGUUUUGCACUAGUUUUGGCAAAUAAAUAUGAAAUAAAUGGUAUUUACUAGGUUAAGAGCAUGCUGCGUGAGGGGAAAGAAGUGUGUCCCUUCGCAGAGGAUAGUUUCGCUCUUUCUGUCCCAGAAUAACACAUGUACGGACUCUGCUGGCUGGAGAGCAAGAGCUGACGUUACUCACCGCUACUCUGAAAGGAAAGGCAAAGCUGUCUCAGGUACCAAUACCUCCAACAGAAAAUCAGACCUGUUGCUAAAGAAGUACAUCUACAUACCAGGUGAAGAUGAGAUCGCUCCGUAAUGUAUCCUGCUACUGUUACAUUAUUGCGACACUGGUGAACUUGGUUGUGACAGUGAGGUGUGCUCUCUGUAAGAAAGACAGUGAUUUAUUUUAUUUUUUAUAAACGCCUGCCCAAGAGGAGAGCCCACAUCCGAUCAGAAGUAAUAGUUGAUGCAGAGAUUGUAUCAACUGAUGCUAUCAACAAAUCCCCACCAAACGGGGCUGGUCGUAGGCAUAACGUCCAUCAAGACAUUCUUAAAUGCCCUACCCUUCUCCUAGUGAGUGACUCUGGUGACAAAGCCACUCUGUUUUCUCAACAUCUACUGUGACUACAAGCCAUGAGAGCUGUCUGAACCUGGAGCUGCCGUUCACCCCCUUCCAGCUUUACCACAAAGAGUAGUAUUGUACACACUACCGUGACGCAAUCUCAAUCGCACUCCACACUGCCCUUUUCCACUAUGUGAGAAUGCUGUUCAUUGACUACAGCUCAGCGUUCAACACCAUAGUACCCUCAAAGAUCAUCACUAAGCUAAGGACCCUGGGACUAAACACCUCCUUCUGCAACUGGAUCCUGGACUUCCUGACAGGCCGCCCCAGGUGGUAAAGGACCUGAGCCCAAGGACCAUGCCCCAGGACUACCUGACAUGAUGACUCCUUGCUGUCCCCAGUCCACCUGGCCGUGCUGCUGCUCCAGUUUCAACUGUUCUGCCUUAUUAUUACUCCACCAUGCUGAACAUCUUGGCCAUGUUCUGUUAUAAUCUCCACCCGGCACAGCCAGAAGAGGACUGGCCACCCCACAGAGCCCGGUUCCUCUAUAGGUUUCUUCCUAGGUUUUGGCCUUUCUAGGGAGUUUUUCCUAGCCACCGUGCUUCUACACCUGCAUUGCUUGCUGUUUGGGGUUUUAGGCUGGGUUACUGUACAGCACUUUGAGAUAUCAGCUGAUGUACGAAGGGCUAUAUAAAUAAAUUUGAUUUGAUUUGGUGCCAGGACAAGAACCUCUCCCUCAAUGUGAGCAAGACAAAGGAGCUGAUCGUGGACUACAGGAAAAGGCGGGCCGAACAGGCCCCCGUUAACAUCGACGGGGCUGAAGUGGAGCUGUUCCUUGCUGUUUCAAGUUCCUUGGUGUCCACAUCACUAACAAACUUUCAUGGUCUAUACACACCAAGACAGUCGUGAAGAGGGCAUGACAAAACCUUUUCCACCACAGGAGACUAAAAAGAUUUGGCAUGGAUCCCCAGAUCCUCAAAAGGUUCUACAGCUGCACCGUCGAGAGCAUCCUGACCGAUUGCAUUACCGCCUGGUAUGGCAUCUGACCAUAAGGCGCUACAGAGGGUAGUGCGUACGGCCCAGUACAUCACCGGGGCCAAGCUUCCUGCCAUCCAGGACCUACAUAAUAGGCGGUGUCAGAGGAAAGCCCGUAAAAUUGUCAGACCCAAGUCAUAGACUAUUUUCUCUGCUACUGCACGGCAAGCGAUACCGGAGUGCCAAGUCUCGGACCAAAAGACUCCUUAACGGCUUCUACCCCCAAGCCAUAAGCCACAAGACUGCUGAACAGCUUCUACCCCCAAGCCAUCAGACUGCUGAACAGCUUCUACCCCCAAGCCAUCAGACUGCUGAACAGCUUCU